GCCUUUGGGUUGUAAACCCCUUUUGUUAGGGAAGAAAAAAAUGACGGUACCUAACGAAUCAGCCUCGGCUAACUCCGUGCCAGCAGCCGCGGUAAUACGGAGGAGGCAAGCGUUAUCCGGAAUUAUUGGGCGUAAAGCGUCCGUAGGUGGCCCGGCAAGUCUGCUGUCAAAGACCACAGCUCAACUGUGGAAAGGCAGUGGAAACUGCAAGGCUAGAGUGCGGUAGGGGUAGAGGGAAUUCCCAGUGUAGCGGUGAAAUGCGUAGAGAUUGGGAAGAACACCGGUGGCGAAAGCGCUCUACUGGGCCGCAACUGACACUGAUGGACGAAAGCUAGGGGAGCGAAUGGGAUUAGAUACCCCCAGUAGUCA
rnacentral:rRNA from 1 species